rnacentral:rRNA from 1 species
AACGAACGCUGGCGGCAUGCCUAACACAUGCAAGUCGAACGAGACCUUCGGGUUUUGUUGCGCUCGGGUGCGUACCGCGUGGGAACCUGCCCUUAGGUUCGGAAUACUUCCCUGAAAGGGGUCCUAACACCGGAUAAUGUCUUCGGACCAAAGAUUUAUCGCUUUUGGAUGGGGCCGCGUUGGUUUCGCUAGUUGGUAGGGUAAAAGCCUCCCAAGGCGAUGAUCCAGAGCUGGUCUGUGAGGAGGAACAGCGAGACUGGGACUGGGACACGGCCCAGACGGGUGCGAGAGGCAGCAAAGAGGAAAAAUUGGGAAGGGGCGAGAGCCAGAACCGGCGAGUGCGGGAGGAUGGUGAAGGGCUUAGGGUUGGAAAGCUCUUUUACCCGGGAGGAUAAUGCCGGAACCGGGAAAAUAAGCCCCGGCAAACUCCUG